UACGUAGGGGGCAAGCGUUGUCCGGAUUUAUUGGGCGUAAAGAGCGUGUAGGCGGCCAAGCAGGUCAGCUGUGAAAACUCGAGGCUCAACCUCGAGACGCCGGUGGAAACCAUCAGACUAGAGUCCGGAAGAGGAGAGUGGAAUUCCUGGUGUAGCGGUGAAAUGCGCAGAUAUCAGGAAGAACACCCGUGGCUAAGGCGGCUCUCUAGUACGGUACUGACGCUGAGACGCGAAAGCGUGGGGAGCGAACAGG
rnacentral:rRNA from 1 species